rnacentral:lncRNA from 1 species
AAGAAGAGAUGCAGAAAGUCACUCCGAAGCCCCGGCCAGGGGAGCUGCAAGCACCCACGUACGCGACAGGGUCAGAGGAGAGAGCUAGCUGCACACAACUUCAGGGAGAAUUUGUUUCCCUGAUGACGUAACCAGUCUAUUUGUUGAAGACCCUGGGUUGUCUGUCCUACAGAAGGCCCCAUUCUGGAUGUUUGUUGAUUAUAUUCCCUUGGGGCCGUGAGACACAUUCCUGGUUCCCUGUAUUUCCAAGAGAAUCUGCAGCCCCUGAAGUAGGAGCUCUUCCUGGAUGGAGAAAGAAGACAGGUCGCACACAGGAAGCAAUUGCCAAAGCUAUUGUUUUCUUUCGUUUGGUUUUUUCUUAAGUAUUAUAGGCUAACACCUUUGCUUUGGAAGGAAAACAGAAGUCUGCACUUCCCAGCUCCCUGCAAGGGAUCACAUGACUGGAGUCUCUCUAGCAAAAGUGCUGUGUGUCACUUCCGGACCACAAUACAGAGGAGCAGGUAAGAGAUCUCCAAGCCUCAGUGAAGCCCGAAGCCACCGAACUCCUAUCGGCCUUGAUAUCUGAAUGACUGGGUGGAAAACAGCUCCCCCUGACCCCCAACUCACAAUGAACAUGGGCAGAAAUUAAAUCAU